UUCCAUGCAAGUCGAACGGUAACGGGCCUUCGGGUGCCGACGAGUGGCGAACGGGUGAGUAAUGUAUCGGAACGUACCUUUCAGUGGGGGAUAACGUAGCGAAAGUUACGCUAAUACCGCAUAUUCUGUGAGCAGGAAAGCAGGGGAUCGCAAGACCUUGCGCUGAUUGAGCGGCCGAUAUCAGAUUAGCUAGUUGGUGAGGUAAAGGCUCACCAAGGCGACGAUCUGUAGCGGGUCUGAGAGGAUGAUCCGCCACACUGGAACUGAGACACGGUCCAGACUCCUACGGGAGGCAGCAGUGGGGAAUUUUGGACAAUGGGGGCAACCCUGAUCCAGCCAUGCCGCGUGAGUGAAGAAGGCCUUCGGGUUGUAAAGCUCUUUCGGCCGGGAAGAAAUCGCAUGGGUUAAUACCCUGAGCGGAUGACGGUACCGGCAUAAGAAGCACCCGCUCACUACGUGCCAGCAGCCGCGGUAAUACGUAGGGUGCGAGCGUUAAUCGGAAUUACUGGGCGUAAAGCGUGCGCAGGCGGUUUCGUAAGACAGGCGUGAAAUCCCCGGGCUCAACCUGGGAACUGCGCUUGUGACUGCAAGGCUAGAGUACGGCAGAGGGGGGUGGAAUUCCACGUGUAGCAGUGAAAUGCGUAGAGAUGUGGAGGAACACCAAUGGCGAAGCAGCCCCCUGGGUCGAUACUGACGCUCAUGCACGAAAGCGUGGUAGCAAACAGGAUUAGAUACCCUGUAGUCCACGCCCUAACGAUGUCAACUAGUGUUGGGUGGGUUUCUACUCAGUAACGAAGCUACGCGUGAGUGACCGCCUGGGGAGUACGCGCAAGUAAAACUCAAGAUGACGGACCCGCACAGCGUGAUGAUGUGAUAUCGAUGCACGCGAAAACUUACU
rnacentral:rRNA from 1 species